rnacentral:rRNA from 1 species
UACGUAGGGGGCUAGCGUUGUCCGGAUUUAUUGGGCGUAAAGAGCGUGUAGGCGGCCAGGUAGGUCUGGUGUGAAAACUCGAGGCUUAACCUCGAGAUGUCAUCGGAAACCAUCUGGCUAGAGUCCGGAAGAGGAGAGUGGAAUUCCGAGUGUAGAGGUGAAAUUCGUAGAUAUUCGGAGGAACACCAGUGGCGAAGGCGGCUCACUGGUCCGGUACUGACGCUGAGGUGCGAAAGCGUGGGGAGCAAACAGG